AUUGUAUUACAAAUUUGGAAUUACUACUUUGUACUCUACUUCAUCACUUUAUAUGCCAAUAGUUUCCCAAAAUGCGACUAUGUAUCCUCUUUUCCUUUGUGUUCGUAGUCGUGGAUGGGAGGAAAUUGCAAAAUCAGCAAAGUUAUAGAUGUAUAACGGUUUAUGGAAGCGAUGUAAGGAUGCAAAAUUGUCAAGGGGGCCCUUUUCAAGAUUGGAUUAUUGAGGAGGACGGAACAAUCAGAAACUCAGGGUCAAAUUCAUGUCUAUAUUUUAAUAAUGGGCCUGCAAAUGCGAGAAUAACGUUGCAGCCAUGUACUUAUAAUCGGGACGGGAUGCAGUGGACCCUAGUUGAUGGAGUUUUAAAGAAUUUGCGGUAUAAUUGGUGUGCCAGACCAAAUACGGCGUCUAACAAUGGAAUCUGCCUAGGUAGCUGUACCACUGGAGAUAUACGGCAAAACUGGGGGGAGGAUGAGACAGAAGAAGAAAAGGAGAUCGUGUUUCCAUAAGGUUUAACUAUAGCUUUGUAAAAGAAGAAGAUCAUCACUAUCUAGAAAACCAAAAAUUAGAUAUAUGUAUAUGUAUAUUAAUUAGCGAAGAAAUAACUUACUCGUAUUUUGGUGGCAGAAUCUGGGAAAUAAAUUAUCUUUAACAAUUAGCGCAUAUUUAUUUUAACUGAGUUGCAUUAUUUCGUGAAUUUGUUUCGAGUAUUAUAGUUUGUACUUUAAAAGAACAGUUUUUUUGUUCGCACUGCUUACGGCACGAAUGCGAAUUCUGUGUUUUCAAACUACAAGCCAUUUAAAUACUAGUUACAUGUUAGAAAUUUUAUGUUCCUGCAAACUUAGAGAAUGUUCUAGAUGAAGAUAAAUAAUAUGUAUAUAAAUAAAUAAAUAUUGUUGUGGAGAGAA